AUUGAACGCUGGCGGCAGGCCUAACACAUGCAAGUCGAGCGGAUGAAGGGAGCUUGCUCCUGGAUUCAGCGGCGGACGGGUGAGUAAUGCCUAGGAAUCUGCCUGGUAGUGGGGGAUAACGUCCGGAAACGGGCGCUAAUACCGCAUACGUCCUGAGGUAGAAAGUGGGGGAUCUUCGGACCUCACGCUAUCAGAUGAGCCUAGGUCGGAUUAGCUAGUUGGUGGGGUAAAGGCCUACCAAGGCGACGAUCCGUAACUGGUCUGAGAGGAUGAUCAGUCACACUGGAACUGAGACACGGUCCAGACUCCUACGGGAGGCAGCAGUGGGGAAUAUUGGACAAUGGGCGAAAGCCUGAUCCAGCCAUGCCGCGUGUGUGAAGAAGGUCUUCGGAUUGUAAAGCACUUUAAGUUGGGAGGAAGAGCAGUAAGUUAAUACCUUGCUGUUUUGACGUUACCAACAGAAUAAGCACCGGCUAACUUCGUG
rnacentral:rRNA from 1 species